rnacentral:miRNA from 1 species
UCGGCAACAAGAAACUGCCUUGA